rnacentral:misc_RNA from 1 species
AAUACUUAAUUAAAUAUCUUAAAUUUUUUUCCUAAAACAUCUAGUAAAAGGUUCUGCGUUAGUGAUCCUCUCAAAUAACUAUCCCGUUGGUUACCAUUUUCGUGGAUUAGCAUCCUUUUAUUAUUGAUUAUGGGAAUAGAUAUAGGAAUUAUCUGAAUAUAGGUAUAGGAAUACUUUUGUGAAUUUAUCACAUAACAUUCCUUUUCAAGUCCAUACUUAGCAAAAUAAACACUAAAAUGGACUUCUUAAUCAUAGGGUUUACAUUUAAAAUGGACUAGAUAAAAGGUUUUGUAUUCUAAAUAAGUAGCAACAAAUUCAUUUUAUCAAUCAUUGAACUCAUGGUCCUUUGGUGUAGUAUAUGCAAAGCAUCAUGAGCACUUGAAGUUAG